UACGUAGGGUGCAAGCGUUAAUCGGAAUUACUGGGCGUAAAGCGUGCGCAGGCGGUUGUGCAAGACAGCUGUGAAAUCCCCGGGCUCAACCUGGGAAUUGCAUUUGUGACUGCACGGCUAGAGUGUGUCAGAGGGGGGUAGAAUUCCACGUGUAGCAGUGAAAUGCGUAGAUAUGUGGAGGAAUACCGAUGGCGAAGGCAGCCCCCUGGGAUAACACUGACGCUCAUGCACGAAAGCGUGGGGAGCAAACAGG
rnacentral:rRNA from 1 species